rnacentral:rRNA from 1 species
UCAGGAUGAACGCUAGCUACAGGCUUAACACAUGCAAGUCGAGGGGCAGCAUGUGGUUGCUUGCAACCAAUGAUGGCGACCGGCGCACGGGUGAGUAACGCGUAUCCAACUUCCCCUUAGUAGAGGAUAGCCCGGCGAAAGUCGGAUUAAUACUCUAUGUUGUAUUUUGAUGACAUCUGACGAAUACCAAAGAUUUAUCGCUAAGGGAUGGGGAUGCGUCUGAUUAGGUUGCAGGCGGGGUAACGGCCCACCUGGCCUACGAUCAGUAGGGGUUCUGAGAGGAAGGUCCCCCACACUGGUACUGAGACACGGACCAGACUCCUACGGGAGGCAGCAGUGAGGAAUAUUGGUCAAUGGGCGCGAGCCUGAACCAGCCAAGUAGCGUGCCAGGACGACUGCCCUAUGGGUUGUAAACUGCUUUUAUCAGGGAAUAAAGUGAGGCACGCGUGCCUUUUUGUAUGUACCUGGUGAAUAAGGACCGGCUAAUUCCGUGCCAGCAGCGGC